CAGUCCUCCUGUCUUGGCCUCCCAAAGUGACUCUUAAACCUGCCAUCGUCACUUCUGAAGCAUAGAAAAGGCACAGAGCGAUAAAAUGAUUUAAAAAAAAGGCAUCAUCCAAGUUCUUGAUAGUGAAGCAAUGAGACAGAUACAAUGUAACAACAUCUUUAAAGUGCUGAAUGAUCAUACCUGUCCAUCUGGAAUUCUACAUCCAGCUGAAAUAUCCUUCAAAAAUGAAAAUAAAGGCUGACCUGCUAAAGGUAUAUUAAAGGAACAUUUUCAGACCAAAGAAAAUAAAACUACGAACUCAGAUCAGCAGAAGA